rnacentral:lncRNA from 1 species
CCAGAUCCGUGCUCCCGGUAUCCCAGUCAAGUUGGGUGAAUUCUCCCCUGAAAUUCUUCCAUCACUCCUGAAGCAAAGAGGCAAGCCUUGAUGAAACAAAAGGAGCCCAAGUUUUGAGAUCAGACAGACUUGGGUUUGAAUCUCAACACUAUCCCUUCCUGGCUGUGUGACUUUGGAUAAGACCCGUGAACUCCCUGAACCUGAGCUGCAACCGUAAGCCAGAACACAUAUAAAGUGCUGAAUAAAUGGCAGCUGUCAGAAUUCUUAUUUAAUAUGUGCAUCCCAUUGGGUUGUACAUUUCUGCUGAUGCAUCAUUUUUUUCUGAGAUUCCCCAAGGCUGGACUGUGUCUUGUUCAACUUUGUCUUCGCAGUGCCCCUUGAUAAGUAUAAGAAUGCGCUAAGAGUUGGAAGCAUGAAUAAAUCAUCUUGUACUUUUUUGA